rnacentral:rRNA from 1 species
AUUGAACGCUGGCGGCAGGCCUAACACAUGCAAGUCGAGCGGAUGAGAGGAGCUUGCUCCUUGAUUUAGCGGCGGACGGGUGAGUAAUGCCUAGGAAUCUGCCUGGUAGUGGGGGAUAACGUUCCGAAAGGAACGCUAAUACCGCAUACGUCCUACGGGAGAAAGCAGGGGACCUUCGGGCCUUGCGCUAUCAGAUGAGCCUAGGUCGGAUUAGCUAGUUGGUGAGGUAAUGGCUCACCAAGGCGACGAUCCGUAACUGGUCUGAGAGGAUGAUCAGUCACACUGGAACUGAGACACGGUCCAGACUCCUACGGGAGGCAGCAGUGGGGAAUAUUGGACAAUGGGCGAAAGCCUGAUCCAGCCAUGCCGCGUGUGUGAAGAAGGUCUUCGGAUUGUAAAGCACUUUAAGUUGGGAGGAAGGGCAUUAGCCUAAUACGUUAGUGUUUUGACGUUACCGACAGAAUAAGCACCGGCUAACUUCGUGCCAGCAGCCGCGGUAAGAC